rnacentral:rRNA from 1 species
CAAGUCGAACGAACCUUUCGGGGUUAGUGGCGGACGGGUGAGUAACGCGUGAGAAUCUGCCCUCAGGAGGGGGAUAACGACUGGAAACGGUCGCUAAUACCCCAUAUGCCGAGAGGUGAAAUGAAUUUCGCCUGAGGAUGAGCUCGCGUCUGAUUAGCUAGUUGGUGGGGUAAAGGCCUACCAAGGCGACGAUCAGUAGCUGGUCUGAGAGGAUGAUCAGCCACACUGGGACUGAGACACGGCCCAGACUCCUACGGGAGGCAGCAGUGGGGAAUUUUCCGCAAUGGGCGAAAGCCUGACGGAGCAACGCCGCGUGAGGGAUGAAGGCCUCUGGGCUGUAAACCUCUUUUCUCAAGGAAGAAGAUCUGACGGUACUUGAGGAAUAAGCCACGGCUAAUUCCGUGCCAGCAGCCGCGGUAAUACGGGAGUGGCAAGCGUUAUCCGGAAUUAUUGGGCGUAAAGCGUCCGCAGGCGGCCUUGUAAGUCUGUCGUUAAAGCGUGGAGCUUAACUCCAUUUCAGCGGUGGAAACUACAAGGCUUGAGUGUGGUAGGGGCAGAGGGAAUUCCCGGUGUAGCGGUGAAAUGCGUAGAUAUCGGGAAGAACACCAGUGGCGAAGGCGCUCUGCUGGGCCAUAACUGACGCUCAUGGACGAAAGCCAGGGGAGCGAAAGGGAUUAGAUACCCCUGUAGUCCUGGCCGUAAACGAUGAACACUAGGCGUCGAGGGAAUCGACCCCCUCGGUGUCGUAGCCAACGCGUUAAGUGUUCCGCCUGGGGAGUACGCACGCAAGUGUGAAACUCAAAGGAAUUGACGG